UACGUAGGGGGCAAGCGUUGUCCGGAGUUACUGGGCGUAAAGGGCGCGGAGGCGGUCUGCGGCGUCGGCGCUGAAAGCGCCCCGCUUAACGGGGCGAGGCGUGCCGAUACGCGCAGACUUGAGGCGAGCAGAGGGUGGUGGAAUUCCGGGUGGAGCGGUGAAAUGCGUAGAGAUCCGGAGGAACGCCAGUGGGGAAGCCGGCCACCUGGGCUCGUCCUGACGCUGCGGCGCGACCGCGUGGGGAGCAAACCGG
rnacentral:rRNA from 1 species